rnacentral:lncRNA from 1 species
GUGGGGGAGGAGGACCCCAAAAUGUCCCAAAUUUACCCCAAAAUGCACCAAAAUGUCCCAAAUUUGACCCCAAAUGCCGCAAAUUUGACCCAAAAAUGACCCAAAAUGGCAGAAAUUUGACCCAAAAUGGCAGAAAUUUCACCCAAAUUUGGCCGCCAUUUUUGGGUCUCUUCCAUUGACCCCAAUGGGGAUUGGAGGGACCCCAAAGUUGUAUUGGGGGUGGAGGACCCCAAAAUGUCCCAAAUUUACCCCAAAAUGUCCCAAAUUUGACCCCAAAUGUCCCAAAUUUGACCCAAAUUGACCAAAAA